rnacentral:rRNA from 1 species
UACGAAGGGGGCUAGCGUUGUUCGGAAUUACUGGGCGUAAAGCGCACGUAGGCGGAAUGUUAAGUCAGGGGUGAAAUCCCGGGGCUCAACCCCGGAACUGCCCUUGAUACUGGCAUUCUCGAGUCCGGAAGAGGUGAGUGGAAUUCCGAGUGUAGAGGUGAAAUUCGUAGGUAUUCGGAGGAACACCAGUGGCGAAGGCGGCUCACUGGUCCGGUACUGACGCUGAGGUGCGAAAGCGUGGGGAGCAAACAGG